GAGGGUAUAGCUCAGAGGUAGAGCGCAUGCUUAGCAUGCAUGAGGUCCUGGGUUCAAUCCCCAGUACCUCCA
rnacentral:tRNA from 1 species